rnacentral:rRNA from 1 species
UACGUAGGGGGCAAGCGUUGUUCGGAAUUACUGGGCGCAAAGGGCGCGUAGGCGGCCUUCUAAGUCAGACGUGAAAUCCCCCGGCUUAACCUGGGAACUGCGUCUGAUACUGGGAGGCUUGAGUAUGGGAGAGGGAUGUAGAAUUCCAGGUGUAGCGGUGAAAUGCGUAGAUAUCUGGAGGAAUACCGGUGGCGAAGGCGGCAUCCUGGACCAUAACUGACGCUGAGGCGCGAAAGCUAGGGGAGCAAACGGG